rnacentral:lncRNA from 1 species
UCGGUUCAGUAUGCAGGGGAUCUGUUGCGAAAACAAAUGACAGUUUUCUUUCAAUAUUUCAUCAUAGAGUCACAUAUUUUUGGUUCACGAUAUUUCAAAAUCAACACCCGGGGAACAGAAGAUGAGCUCUUUGAGGGGCAGUGAGUCAAAUGCAAGCACCAACCCUUGGAGCAUCCCCUUCCAUUAUGGAGAUGCCGUCAUCUCCUUCCUGGACCACCUGCUUUCCUAUCGGGAUGAUCAGCACAGACUGGGAGUAGUUGGAAGGCAGGGUCCUUGCUCUUCAUGGCACCUGAAAGAUAUUCCCAGAUCUCUCCUUGAUUUGCCUCUUUCUCUGAAAAAUUGGGGCAGAAGGACCCUCUAUGAUGCAAGGGUGAAGAGACCUUGUUUCAUGCAAGUAUAUUAUGUACUUUGAGCCCAUACCUCCAGGCUCUCCAUCCGUCCCCUCUGAGUCCCAUCUCUUCCCUCGAGUCUUCUGCGUUUCCUAGACAGCGUCACAUCUACACUCAGAUAAUCA